rnacentral:lncRNA from 1 species
UUUUUUUUUUUUUUUUGUUUUGGGUCCAGAUGCAGUCACUUGGAACAACAGUGAUGACUAGCAUUAGCGACCACAAAUUAAUACUAGUAGACAGCAUGCCAUAAUCAACUAUAGUUAGGAAAAUUAAUGAUCGCUAACUAAAACCUUUUCAAACAUGGUAAGCUGAUGAUGACACUUUGCCAGGUAUUAACCACUCGCUUUUCAUCUAUAGAAGCGAGCAUUAAUAGUUUUUGUCCAGCAAAAGAGACUAGUGAGAUUCGAUUUUCAUCUUUAGGAUGACAAUGAUCUGAUUUCUCCUGGUUUGGAUCGCAAUUUUUCUUCAAAAAUUUUUUUAUAUUUUUUAUGAAUAAAUUUUUUAAUUAUUUUUUUUAUUUCACAAACAUCAAAUCGUUAUAAUACAUAUUUUUUACAAAAAAUAUAAUCCAAACAUAGAGGUGCACGAUUGUUUGGACUGACAAGAUACCACGAGAGACAUUGCUUCAACUACCAACCGUGCACUCACGAAAUACACCAAAAGUUGUCACAAAAUGAACCACAAUAUUGGAGCUUUGAAUUUGUGGACUACUAUCCAAUCGUUUAGAACUUCAAAUAACUCCAAGCGAGACUUGCCUCUCCCAUUAAUGAUGCUACUGACCAUGAGUUUCAUUUUCAAAAUGGAUAAUUUCAGAAACCUCCUCUAAAAUUUUUAACUGUUUUACCAGUCUCUUUUUAGGUUUUUAAAAUUACAUUAAUUUCUCUUGAAAUUAAUUAUCUGGUAACAUUUAGACUCAAUCAAUAGUUUAAAAGUAAUAUUAGGAGAGAUAAAAUUAUAUAAUUUCGUCAUUGUCUCUCACCUAUUAUAUUAUUUAAUUAAAUUAAUACCAACUCACACAUUAAAGAAAAACAUUAAAAUUUGCUGUUAUCGUUAGGAUUAGAUCACAUAUAACAUCAAAAAAUAGUAUAUCAUUUUAUAUUUUUUUUUACUUAAUAUGAGAUAUAAAUUACUUUUUUUAGUUAUAUACGUAUUGUCAAAUAUGAUCAAUAACAAAUAAUUAAAAAAUUUGCAACCAAAGUAUUAUAAAGAAUAAACUUUAAUAUCAUAAAUACUCUUGCCAACAUAUUAAGUUUAGCUGUUAAAAUUUUUAUGGUAUUAAAAUUCAUUCUUUGUAAUAAUUUGGUUGCAGAUUCUUUUGAUUAUUUAUUGUUGAUCACGUUGGAUAAUGGGUUUAUAACUGAAAAGAGUAAUUUGGAUAUUACGCUGAGUGAAAUAUAUAUAAUGAUACAUUAUUUUUGAUGCUAUAUGUGAUUUAGUUCGUAAUGAUCAACAACAAAUUCUAGUAUUUUCUUUAAUAUUUGAUUGAUAUUUGAUUAAUUACACAAUUUAGUGGACGAGGCGUAAUGGUGGAAUCAUAUUAUCGUUCUUCUCAUAAUAUCAUUUUUUUAAUUAUUGGUUGAAUCUAAAUGUUACAAGUUAAUAAAUCUCAAUAGAAACUAGUAUAAUUUUCAAAAUUUGAAGGGAGGUCAAUGAAAUAGUCAUAAACCUCAAGGGAUGAGGUUUCUAAAAUUAUCCCUUCUCAAAAAGACCAUAUAGGAGAAAUUAUACGUUGAUAAGUCUAGUCGUUACUUUUAAAAGAAAUAAGUCUAGUCGUAGUUAGGGUUGCAAAUGAGUUGAGUCGAGUUAAAUUUUGAACUUUUCGAAUUGAGUUUGACUUGUUAACAUACGAGUUUGAAUUCGAGCUCGAGUUCGUCGAGUCAUAAAAAUAAAACUCGAGUUCGACUCAACCUAGAAAAAGGUAAGUUCAAAUCGACUCGUUUUUGGCUCACGAAUUUAGCUCAAUUUCUGGCUCACGAGCUGUUUGAGAUGUCAACUCGAGUUUUGGUCAAUAUUCUGGCUUAUGAGGAAUUCGAAGUCAAUUUAAUUUUAAUUGAUGUAGGGACAUUUUUAUAAUUUCACAUCAACUCGAGUUUUUUCAAGCGUUUCGUGAAACUAUCGAACCCAACAAGUGACUACCCAAGUUCGACUCGUAUAUAUUAACGAUUUACUUGAGUUCGAACUUAGCUACUUGAGAGCCAUUCGUGUGGAUUGCAGCCCUAGUCACAGCAACAAAUCUGGGUGACUUGGACACUAACCUAACUUAAAUGAGUGAAUUCUAUUCUGUUGUGGGAUGGUGGUGGCAGAAUCAGCAAUGUCCAUUUUUCAACGGCAAAAACCCAAAAGUUGAUAGUACACGAUAAAGCGGUGGAUAUUCCACUUGUCACCUGGUCGUUUCCUGUCUUUUUGCGUGUGGGCAACACAUCGUCACUCAAUUUCACUUAGUCACCAUUUUUCGGACUCGGGGCACGGACGGUUGCAGGUGCAACCGUCCAGGGCAAUUUUGGCCAUUAUCAACUGCGCGUAACUUUCUUUGUAUAUCGUGUAACUUUUUUUUCACAUGAUGUAUUUUCACAACAGAUAGUGGUGGGUCCCACACUUGGCGCGGAAAUCGAGUUACAUGGUGUAAUCUCAGCCGCACAAAAUUUUGAGGGCAAAUCUUGGCCCUUAACCGUGCAGGGACGGUCAUCAGUAUGACUGCGUAGGGAUUGGUGGUACACAAACUGAUAAACUUCGUCUCUCUAAACUGCGGAUUGAGCUGGCUCCUUUUUUUUAGAGGGAGUCAAACCUACUAGAGGCACUUGACUUUUUUGUUCUCGACCAAAUCAAAGCCGUAAUACUAAUAUCUCUCUCUUAUUUCUUGCACUGCCAUAACUCCUGAACAUAUUAUUGUACUCCCUCCGUCCCGUUUUGUUAGUCUUGGUUUUUUUUUCACACAGAUUAAAAAAGUGUAAUUAAUUUGAUUGGAAACAUAAAUUUAGAUUAAUAAUUUCCUAAAAUACCCUUAUGCUAAUCACGAAGAGUGCCAAUUAAUAUCAGUUACAGCUAAUGGGUUAGUAUUGGAAAAGUUCAAUGUAUUCAAUGUAGUGGGUUAGUAUUUAAUAACAAUGUAUUAAUAACAAGAUAUUUAAUAAGGGUAUUUUAGACAAUUUGAAAGAUUACUACAUUUCUUAAUGGGAAAGUGGACUACAAUUUGGGACAAACGAAAAAGGAAAACAAGACUAUCAAAGUGGGACGGAGGGAGUAAGAAUCAAACAGCACUCCGUUGACAAAGAGGCGUCAUAUUAUUAUGAGUAGUGGCGUGCUCUAUUCUAUUUGGUAGCUGAGUACCACACAACCUAUUCCACAAGCACUCAUCAUUUAUCAAGAAAUUGUGAUUAGUGCACUGGCAACUCGAAUUACACACUUAGAACCAAAAAUUAUUUAUGUGUUCUUCGAACUAAGCACCCUUUGCCGAACCGUUGAAACUCAGUAACCAAAAAUUAAUGCUGUAGAACGUAUUUAUAUGGUCUUUGAUUCGAACUGCGCCAACUCAAGUACUGAUGGGUUUGACAUUUUUUAGUCACCUUGGUUGAGCUUCUUUAUAAACAAAACGAUAAAGGUUUAUGGUGCCAACGAGUCUCAGAACUCAUUGAGGUCAUUUAAUUAAGUGCAGAUCAGAUAGACAAAUAUUUUAGAGAAUUAAUAUUUCGGAAUGUGAAAGACAGCUGAACCUCCACUUUUUUUUUAUAGGGCAAGAAUCCCACCAAAUUUUCCAGGACAUAAGUCCUAUUCCUGUACAAGUAAUACACCAAUUAAGUUCUCAUUAAGCCGUGUAUAUAUUGCAGAAUCUCAGUCGGGAAUAAAGAAUGCAAAAAGAAAUCCGCAUCGUAUGUAUAUCCUGCUAUUCAAGCGGGACAGUUCAGUAGGAGAAAGCAUACAACUCAAAACUCAAGUGUACCCAUAUACAGUUUGACAAAUUAGCCCGAGUACUGUAUGAUCGAACAAAAGGCCGAAGGAGUGGAAAGUAAGGAGAAGAAGAAAGAACGAGGACGUUUCCAGCUCUAGUCAAAAGGCCGAAGGAGUGGAAAGUAAGGAGGAGAAGAAAGAACGAGGACGUUUCUAGCUAGCCUGGGUACGUUUUAAUUAAUGCUCGACCCUGUGGGGAUAUCGCAUGCAUAUGCAUAUGGGCAAAUUUUCAACGGGUAUCCAUUGUGGAGGAGAAUGAUGAAACGCACUCAUAAACUCGCUAAAAAUUCCCCCUCCCUCAUUCGAAUUAUGCCACUUUCUUAUGCUUAAAUUUCUGUAAAUUUUUCUUGCAGAUAGGUUUCUAUCAACAGCAAUUGCUUUGAAUCCAAUGAAUUCAUCAAAUGCACGUCCCACAUUUAAACCUGAAAAUCCUUCUUCUUCUUAAAUAAAAGUAUAAAAACCUCCUCAUGAUUCAUGAACUGCCGGUGCUUGGAAACUUAACGCUGAUUAAUAUCGUGCACCAAGUAUAUAUAAUCAUGAUACAAAUGCAUCACCUCCAUGGCCUUUUUUUCACAUAUGGAAUAUUAAUUAAUCAAGAUUUUGGUCCAUGAGGGUAUUUUGCUCUUCAGAAAAAAAAAAAAAAAAAAUCCCAUGAAAUUUUUUUUGUUAAUGGAUGAAAACGUGACACCAUUCAUUUGCAUUUGCCUGCUCUUUAUCUGCUUAUCGUCUUAAUUUGUGGAACUUUCUCGCGUCCAAAACGUGUAGUGACAAUCUAUUAAGACAUUUCUUUUCGCCAAUUGGAUUAUGCGAUCAGGGGGGUGUACGUACGUUUUAGUGCUUAAAUAGUAGGUAGCUAGGUAAAAUUUUCCCCAACUGAUAUUAUUAGAUUCCACUCGGGCGGCUAUUUUGUAUUUGAGCAAAGGUAGGUCUAGCUAGUAGUUUGCUGUUUAUAAAAAGUUUAAAUUGCUUUUACUAAAGUUUCCUAAAUUCAGAACGGCAGUUCAUAGUGCCUGACAUUUAUAAGAGAUCAUCUCUUAUCCUAUUUGUCUUUAUAGGCACAUGCAUAAGAGAGAAAGCCUUUUUGAAAAAAUAAACUUUUUUUUUUUAAAAAAAAAAAACUAUACUACAUCAAUAUUAAUUGUCUACAUUUAACGGUGAUUUCAACCUGAGAUAUGAUACAUCAAAAUUAAGGACCGUCGUAAUUGUCUAACACAUUCCUAAACUUGAAUAUUUUUAAAUGCUGGAAAAUAAACAUGCAUGCUAUCAAGUCCAUAACUUUAAUGGCGGUUAAAUUUUAAUUACCCACAUUCCUCAGGUGCUGGAGGUCGCCUGUCUAUAAGUACGGAUGAUUAGUACAAAAGUUAGGCCAGGAUGAUCAAUGAUGAUGUACGACACUACUGCCAUUUUCAUUCUGUUAGCUUUAAACUCUACCCCCUCCCACCGCCGCCGUGUGGCCGUGGAAAUUUUAUUGGAAAGUGGCCUUCAAACACUAGAGCACGACAAGUUUCUUUCGAGAAAGGUCACUAUCUUAGUAGUAUUAAAUUAAUAGCACUAAAGAUAAAGAAGACAUAAAAUGUGAUCACUAAUCAAAAGCUCUUGUGUGGUACAGACACCGUACUUCUAAAGUAAAGCAGCCGUGGUUAGAGUUAGACAGCAAAAAAGCAUUUUGACUCAUUUCUCCACCGGACGUUGGAAAUGGAGGCCAAUACCGUUGUAGCUGUAAUUUUCUAAUGUUUAUUUCCAGAAUUUUCUUAGAUAAUAAUCAUCACGUCUGACGUGCUACCAUUACUCAAAGAUACUCUCAAAGAUUUUCUAUGACAGGUAUUAUAAUCCAUUGUAGUUUUCACUGUACAAGGUUAGCGCCAGUUGUUAUUUACCCAUAUGAUGAAAUGGUAAAAGUCUCUCCAUCCAAACGAAAUCAAUGCAUGGUCAUAUUCGUGCUUCUUAUGAAUUGGACAUUCUUAAGUUUAUUUGGACCAUACGAUGGAGGACGAAUUUUAAUAUAUCUGAAUCUAAGUAUAUAACAUAACAUAUUAUCUAAUUUUUAUGAAGUUUAUAUUUUAUAGUUGCAACAUAAAUUCUGCCAACGUAAAAAAAAAUAAUCGUUUUAAACCCCUCAUAUAAUGAUAGUGGGUCAUUUCUUGUCAGUGAGUACCGUGAACACCGCAAUAAUAUGAAUUCCUAUCUCAUUCAUCAACCUCUUAGCAUUUGGUUAUCGACCCGCCAAGGUCUCGAUUAACGGAGGUAUUAACUAAGAUUUAGUCCCUAACAUAUUAUCUAAUUUUUAUGAAGUUUAUAUUUUAUAGUUGCAACAUAAAUUCUGCCAACGUAAAAAAAAAAAAUCAUUUUAAACCCCUCAUAUAAUGAUAGUGGGUCAUUUCUUGUCCAGUGAGUACCCUGGACAUCGCAAUAAUAUGAACUCCUAUCUCAUUCAUCAACCUCUUAGCAUUUGGUUAUCGACCCGCCAAGGUCUCGAUUAACGGAGGUAUUAACUAAGAUUUAGUCCCUAACAUAUUAUCUAAUUUUUAUGAAGUUUAUAUUUUAUAGUUGCAACAUAAAUUCUGCCAACGUAAAAAAAAAAAGAAGAUCAUUUUAUACUUGGCAAUUUUCUAUUGCUUUUAAUUCAUGACAUGAGAAUAUUAUAUGGCAUAUGAUCUAUAUAAUAUUUUUCUCAAAAAAUUACUUUAAAAUAAUGGUGUCUUCAAAGCACAUCUAGCUAGUAACAAGUGUGUUUGAAUAGGAAAUUAUUUAAAAUAAUUAUUAUGAUCUUUUUUGUGACAUGAUAUAUGUGAAAUAAAAAGGUGAUUGAGAAGAUAAAAAGUUGAUUAGAUAUUGUAUUGUGAUGCAAGCAAAAUGUUAGCAUGUUAUUCAUAAUCUAGAGUUAAGGGUGGUUUAAUUACCCGUCCCAUUUUUAAUUUUUAAAAAAACUAGUAAAAGUCUUUCUAUCCAAACAUAUUAAUGCAUGGUUAAUCUUGAGGCAGCUUCAAUGAUUUUUUUUUUUGGACUUUCUAUUAAGUUAACGUGGGCGGGACUGUGCAUAGAAGAAAAAUUGACCGGUGGUAUCAUGAACUCUGCCAAAAGGAAAAAGAUCUUGGAAACCACUCCCACUCCCUCCCUUAGAGUUAAAAGAAGACAAAACCACGGAUUGACUUUGCUGUAGACAAAAUUAAAAUAAGAAAAAUAAAAAUGAUGAUGCAUUCCGGUUAAUGACAAUUACUAGUGGCCCAAUACGAAGCACCUAAACGGAAGCCGUCCUAUGAUUAAUCAUGCCUAGGCUUACUCUCAGUCGUGCCAACUCAACCUCUCCUUCCUUAUCGUCUCAAAAUCCAAUUGUCCGUUCUUUGACUUCUUUGAAUUGAUGCCUCUCAGCUUGAUCAUUAUUCGCAGCUAGCCCAGUAAUAGAUUGCUUAAAGGGUGUUUGGUAAGUGGAUUUUAUAUUAAGGAAUGAGUUUUGAAGAGUAUGCCGAAAUCACAAUUCGAACAGAGCUUCUGUGUGUGUUCCCGAACUGACCUGCAAUAAGUCGAACAGAGGGACUAGCUCUCCGUUGUAACUCCGACGCUCAAAUCAGUUGAGAAAUAAGAGGGAAUAGAGAAAGUAAUUGUAUUGUAUGGCGUUGUGUGUGUAUGUACCUUGUUAGGUUCCCUCCGUUCCUUAUUUAUAGAGCUGCUAGCGAUAAUUUUCAGGGAAUCCAAAGUUAUUCCACUACGCACAGUAAUUAUCUCAUUAGAAUAUGAGUUCUACUGGAUCACUAGAAGCAGAGCCCCUCUUGGACUCUAAUCCUGGCCUUGUCCCGAAGAAUGAGGAGCUUCCUUGCCAGUUCGACCUAUGACCAAACAGGCUCAUAUGUUGGGCCGAACUGGCCCGAAAGAACUGACACAUGUCGGUGGACAAUUAGCUCCUCUACAAGUUUCAAACUUAAUCAUAAUAUGAUCAUACUGAUAGUUUGGUUAAAAUUAAUCAGAAUGAGAUAAUGAACACGAUAGACCCAUUCUAUGAGUUUUGUGAUUAAUUAUAUUUCAGUAGACAAUUAAAAUUUGCUUAACCAUGUAUCUCAUAUAUUUUUAAUUAAAAAUAAAAAGAAGUCAAUUGUAAAAGAGCAGUGAAAAAAAUAGGAGAAAGACGACGAAAAAGGAAAAAAUUGUAAAACCUAUGUCUAGAUUUUAGUUGCCAAACAGUGUACGAAUUUCGACAAAAACCCAUUUCCAUUAACCUGUAAAUCAUAAUCAUUAUGAUUGUGACUGACGAACUUUUAUCAGAGGUUUCUUAAUUCAGCCACUUUGCUAAAAAGUUCAGAUAGCAAAAACCAGCAAAAAGGCAGCUAAAUUAGGAGAUGAUAUAUUAGCUUUUUCAACAUCAAAACGAAAAAGAAAAGGGAAUUAGGAGAUAAUAUAUCUGUCACUAAUAAGAUGGAAAUGCUCUCUGACUUUAUCGCCAUUUUCGAGACCGGAAACUAAAACCAUGUCAUGGGUAGCAGCCGAUAGAAGAGCCAUUGAGGGGAGUUGAGUUAAUGGGCGCAGUAAUGUCGGCCUCCGUCUUAAGCUGACGGAGAGUAUGGUGCUUGCUUGCCCACCAACCCAAAUGCCUAAAGCAGGAACGAUCUUUAAACCUGAGAGCCUGAACCCCGAAGUGUACUCUAACUAAUACUACAAUGAACUAUGUGCAUGUGCUACAUCAAUCAAAUCAUUUUUGUUGCUUGCAUCGUAUUAUCCAAUCAACAAGUUCCAAUAGUGGCCAUUUGAUUGAUGCCCAGUAGUAACGUAGUGUGGACAUUCCAUCAAGGACAUGAUUGUUAUUUUUAGGAUUUUUUUUUUAAAAAAAAUGUAUCGUAGCGAUUUGAUAUAUAUGAAAUUAAAAAUUAAAAAAUACUUUUACAAAAAACGUAAAAAGUUUUUGACAAAAAAUCACAAACCAAACCAGGCAGGCUUUCUAUAUGUACCUAUGCUUUAAAAUUCAGGCUAAAUAGUGACUUAGAUUAGAGUUAAAGAUUAGGGGUUAAUGACUUCGACUGAUCGGACUGAUGUUAAAUAAUUGAAUAAUGUUAUAUAAUUAAAAUUUUAUUAUAUUAUAUAUAAAAAUUAUAUUCUUAACAUGGAUAAGAAUGUUAGUUUUAUUUCUCAAGUUUUAUUAGCAAACAUUCUAUACUCCAAUGCCCUUUAAACUUAACUCAAAGUUGACGAUUGGAAGUUAUAAAUACAAAUUGACAGAUUUUUCGGUUAAACACAGUUUUGACCGAAUAUUUGACAGAUGAGUUUUUGAAGAAACUUGAAUCAAGUGUCUGAUCAAUUACCGGCUUAAACAGUUGGAUCGAUCGAUCCCGUCCGAGUUAAAGGCAUAGGUAUAUACAUUUAGGUACGCACUAGUAAGCGCUUCUGGUGUGUCCCCCCCCCCCCCCUCUUCUCCCAAAAAAAAAAAAAAGCUUUUUUGGUUUUUUGGUUUAAUAAAUAAUCCUGAUGGUGCGUAAGGAGCGCGUUCCACUUCCGAAUGCACGAGUCACUAAGUUUCGAAGACAAAACUUUCAACGUGUGAAAAGACACACCUGACUGAUCAUGAGAACUACAAUUGCAUAUGAUGCUUGGUGUAGUACGACCAAAUCAAAUUACUGGAAAAGGUUUCAAUAUUUUUCUUUGGCGAACGCAAUUUAGGUAACGACUGCGACUCGUAUAGUCGUAUGUCUACCUCUCUGCCGGCUAACUAUAUAAUCAUCUCAUCAUGCGUGCAUGGUUGCAUCGCCCAUAUCCCAGCUCUCUUACGACUAGCAAAGAUAUACGGGCACCUGACAAGAGUAACAGUACUACCCAGUAUCAACUCUACCAGGCCCAAAAGAUAAAGAGAAUUGAGCAAGAAGGAGUGAUGAACUCAACCGUCAUUCCAAUUCCUCCAAGUGCAGAAAAUGUUGAAUCCUCGUAUAAGGACGCCAAAAACAUGGGAAACAAGUUUUCGUUUCUAUCCACUUGUAGUGUUGCUUUCCGGGUCAUCCAGGAAAAAAGAUGUAGUCAGGGCAGCAUGAGAAAAGUGAUUCACAGUGUCAAGGUGGGGAUUGCCUUGGUAUUGGUCUCGCUGCUGUAUCUGCUGGAUCCGCUGUUCACUGAAGUUGGAGAAAAUGCAAUGUGGGCUAUCAUGACCGUCGUGGUUGUCUUCGAGUUCUCUGCAGGUUUGCCAAUUAUUAACCCAUUAUUGUGACCCAAGUUGUUUAGUGGAGUACUAAAAACAUUUUUUCUGUGCAUGGCUGUUUGCGAAUAUAUGCAUAGGAAUUUUUUUUUUCUUUUUUCCUUUUUGGGCAAUAAACACACUAGUCAUAAGUACUAAUAGGAAGCAGGUUGAGAAACUUCUACUGUAGCCAUUUUUUGGGUCAAUCAAUUAGACAAUAUACUAACUGAUGUAUUCACUUUGAUUUGAUGCACGUAUGUCAGGAGCUACGCUAAGCAAAGGCAUAAACCGUGCAAUCGGUACCAUAUUAGGCGGUGGAUUGGGGUGCUUGGCUGCAAUGUUGGCUGACGAGUUCGGAGGGAUAGGCAACGCAAUCGUUGUUGGCGCUUCGGUUUUUAUCGUCGGUAAAAUAUUAAUCCUACCACGACUUAAACUCUGGACCGCAGUUUUGUGUGUGUGUGUGUAUACAUACAUACAUAUAUAUAUAUAUAUAUAUAUAUAUUAGUAGUACUUAAAAGUGACUCACUGCUUAAAAAAUCAUACUCAGGAGCGGCCGCAACGUAUUCGAGGUUGGUUCCAAGAAUUAAAAGGAGAUAUGACUAUGGCGUCUUGAUCUUCAUCCUCACCUUCAAUCUGGUAGCUGUGUCGGGGGUACGGGCCGACAAAGUGAUCAGGUUAGCCAAGCAGCGUCUGUCAACCAUUGGCAUGGGUUUUGCUGUCUGCAUUUUCACCAACUUGCUUAUUUUUCCAAUUUGGGCUGGUGAUGAGCUUCAUCGUUCUACAGCAGCUAAAUUCGACAAACUCGCACGUUGCCUUGAAGGUAAUUUUUUGAAAUUAGUUCUACUUCUGUACUUGGCGUAUAUACCUAAAUCGGGGAAUCAUUGUAUUGUUUGGCUUUUUUAAUUAAAGCAAAGGCAUGCACAAUGUAUUAGCCGCGCGAUUUCACUGAACGGAACAUCAUAUAAGUAAAUGAAUGGCGGAUUUGAUUAAUUUGUAGGAUGUUUGGAGGAGGAACCCAACAACAAAGCAGAAAAUCUGGGCGCCAAGGUCAAGGACUGCAAGUCAGUGUUCCACUCCAAGUCCACCGAUGAAUCACUGGUACGUUUUGAUCUGCUUUUAGAAGACACACACACACACAAAAACAACAGUUAUAUAUAUAUAUAUAUAUGGAGUUCUUGAAAUAAAUAAUUGGUGGGUGGAGAAACAAUCAGAUUUUAAUGGGAGUUUUUUAUACUAUUAGUAAUUUUCCCUGUCAGGGCACGUGUAUUUUACCUGCAAAUUUAAGAAACUAAUCCUUCUAACAAUAAUUAAUGCAGGCCAAUUUUGCUAAAUGGGAGCCCUGGCAUGGGAAAUUUGGAUUGUCUCAUCCAUGGGACAAGUAUCUGGAGAUUGGAGAGGUCCUGAGGGAGCUCGCCGCCUUAAUCCUUUCGCUCGGAGUGUGCGUUCAGUCAUCCAGACAGGUGUUCAAUUGAGUGACAGUCCUACUCCUCUCCAUGUUGUUCUUCAUCCCCACCCCCCAACAACCCCACAAACAAAAAAAUAAUAAUAAUAACGCAUUCUGCAUCCAUUCCUGGGUUUUUUUUUUUUUAAAAAAAAAAAUUUAAAAUUCUGAAAAAAAAUAUUUUUUUUUUCUUUUUUCCGGCUCCAUCCAUCAGGCUGCAGCAAACCAAAGCCGCGCAAUCAGAGAACCGUGCGAAAUCAUAGGGUUGUCUCUUGCAUGGAUAUUGAGAGAGCUGGGCGAGAGCAUCUUCAACAUGACAAGGUGCCGAGCCAAGGCUUUGAUAGCACCAAAGCUGGAGUUCAUUAAACAAGAACUAAGCCGGUUGGGCUCUUCUCUGCAAAUCAAAGGACUAGAAAAAGAUGAAAAUCUUGCGAUGGCAACCUUCACUUUCCUCUUAAUGCAGAUAUCAGAAAAUGUGGAAGUAAUAGCGCAAGAGGUGGAAAAACUGGGACAGCUUGCUUAUUUUAGGACCAAGAACCCAGAUGUUUAACAUUAAUCAAUACACUUGAUUUUGGCAUCAAUCAAUAUACUUGAAAUAACAAGUAAAUCGACUGUGUGGUCAAUCCAGUGAAAUAUCACCUUUCCUCUCUCUCUGAAUUCAGGAAAAGGCGAAAAUGAAACAUAAAUAUGGCGACCCGAUGGAAGUGUGACAGUAGUGUGAUACGACGUAUUAGCUAGAAUUGUAGCACUGCAGUUGAUGCAUCAUCAUUUUUUGUUAUGUGUAAGCAACUAUUACCAGUGCCUUCAAAUGUUGUCUGUAUAUAUAUAUAUAUAUGGCCUCAUUAAUUCAUCUUUCUUGAUGCAUCAUCUUUUUGUACUUGCGCAUGAUAUGGUGUGUCAAGUCAACACGGGUGAUUUUGUUAGCUAAGUACUGCAACAAAAUCUGAUCCUAUGGUUUUUUUUUUGUUUGUGUUUCUACAAAUCUAGGAGGUUAACACUCUGUUACCGCAAGGAUUUUUAUAUGCUUAUUAAGAAAACGUAGGGUAAGGACGCAAGAAUAUUUUUUAACCUUUUUGCAGGAUAAAUAUUACUUAAACGCAACCAAAUAUCAAAUAUUGGGUACCUUUAAUAUGAAAAUAAACCAUUAUACCCUCAUAAGCUUCCUCGUCGUUGGCUUUGUUGAGUUUACAGUGCAGCUUUUUCUUUUUUCUUUUAUCCAAGGAAUAAAAAUAAAGAUAAAAAGGAUAAGAGAAUAGGGAUGCCCUUGGGCCCCCCCCCCCCCAAAAAAAAGAAAAAAAAUUUGCAUCCAAAUCACUCAUCAAUAAUGAGGAGUAUUAACAUUUUAGCAUAAGGUCCAGACUUAUCAACCCGGGAUUUCACCAAGAUGGUCAAAAAAAAAAAAAAAAAACACUCACCCCCUUUGACCUCUGGUGUUUCUUCCUUCUCAGCUUUUUCUUCACAAAUUAUUUCUGACUUCAUGAAUAUCCAACAGUUACAAUAGAUAUUUAUGGCUACCCAUUUGUCGGUGGUAAAAAACACACACACAAGCACAAAAAUCACAAAAUUCUACUUCUACCACAAAUUUUAUAAACAACUCAAAUUUUGAUAUGACGAGACACAUAGGUUGUGUUCGCAUACAAGGUGCUCAACUCAUGCAAUGAUGCUUUAUUUCCAAGACAACCCAUCGAUCGUUUGGUACGCUGAAAAGGGUCAGAUCGAUAUGAGCACCGGUAGUUGGAAAGACAUCCAAAAUCGCAUACAUUGAGAAUGAUGAUGGUAAUUUGCAAUAUCAGAAAACGUAAAGCUUCGAUCACACACACGUUCGCUGGUAUCCAGUACAAAGGGAAAUCACCACUAAAAGGGGUACUGCUCGUACCUCAUCGAACAAUCGAGGAGCACAGCACGAGCACCAAUCCGGCUACCGCAACCGCUGAUCAUCGUCGUAUUAGCAGCAACUAGACAUUUUUCACAAUCUGAGCUAGUUAUGUUUUUGUUGCAAUUUGCUUGGCCGUAGGCAAAAGCAUUGGGAUAAGGAGAAAUAUUGCGGUAAUCAUAACCUUUGCGCGAUGGCGUCUGAGUCUCUAAAUCUGCAAUAACAUAUGCAAGACUGAUAGCAAAAGGAUCACCUCGAAAAUACACCCCAGAAUUGCACAGCACGGUCACGACUUGGGUGUUUGCAGCACUUUCCACGGACCAACAAAGUGAACCCGCCAUCCCAACAACUAAUAUUGCUGCAGAAAUUGCCGUAACGUGUCGAGCAAGACCCAUGAUUUCUUUUGCUUGGUCUUCUUCUCUGGAGCUUCGUCUUUUAUUUAUGGUUGAUCUUUUGCAAGUUGAAAAUUGAAAUGCCCCGCAUUUAGUUUGUUUAUCGUCGGCGAUGUCCUCGUUUUGGGCUGUUUCUUGCUUGUCUCGUGAUGGUGGACCGGUGGUCGCAUUUCGUGCCGGCCUCGUUCGCUGAUUGGACGUUGGUACUGAGGAAUUCAUUUAAACAAGGAAAAAACAAAGUUAAUUUUGGUAAGCCAAGCCUUUACCAAAAAAAAGGUAAGCCAAGCCAGGCCCGGCAACUUCUGUUGUCUCCUUAGUAGAUGUCACAAGCAAAGACAGAUAACAAAAGAUAUUUUGGUGCCACCAAUAAUGGUUUCGAGGGGCGUUAAUCUGAAUUCAAUGCCCACCAUGUGGAAAACAUUUUCUUGGGUAUCUCACUGCUACGCAUGGUGGAAUUUAAUUAUUGUGGUAAAUGGUAGGGAUAAUUUCAAAAACGAAGUUACUGACAAUAAUAUCAUUGAGCUCGUCUAACUAAGGUUUGUAAACUUACAACUACCUUCCUUGAUUUAAUAGUUUUAGUAACCAAAUCUUAAAAUAACAUUACCUUGAUCAAAAUAUUUAAAUGAAUAUCCUAAAAUACCCUCAUUUAAUGAAUUUUAAUUUACUUCCAUACAUAAUUGUAAAAUUAUCUAGCACAAUUAUAAGGAACAGAUGCCAAAAUUUUCAUAUUCAUAUCUAUUGUUUGAUAAAUAGCUAUAAUAACAAUAAUUUUAUAGCUAUUACAGGAUAUUUUUGAUGGUGUUUUACUAGGGAUUUAGAUUUAUAGGAUAGAAACGAAAGUGUUCAAAUAUUAUCUUUUAGACUUUAUGAAUUUUUCAAAUGGUGGAAUUAUUAUAAUUUGGUAGUAAUUUUGGGCCAUUUGUUUUAGAUUUAUCAUUGAUGUUGAUACCAAUAAAAAUAAAAUAGAAAAACAAAGAUCACCGUAAACGUUGGAUUACAUUCAAAGUUAACUCAUUAAAAAAAAUAUUACUAAUUCAACAUUUUGUUACAACAGAAACUAAAAGCAAUAGUGGCCGUCCAUGAUUUUGUUGACAAAAUAUAAAAAAAGACGAUGAAGAAGGGAAACGGACUAGAAAAUGAAAGUCCUAGUUGACUUUAGACUCAUCAAAUUGCAAUCUUCUCAAAUUUUGAGUCAUUAGAAAAUAUAAAGAGGGUAAUAUUUUUUUUUUUUUUUUUAAAAAAAAGGUAGAGUGGGCAAUGGGUAUGUGGGAUAAACUGGAAUAGUGGGAAAGGGAAGUUGAUAGGUAUUUUAUAAAUUCUACCAUGCUCAUAAUAUGAAUGGUAUCAGAAAAAGCGACAUUACAUCCAAAAGUUCGUAAUUUUCAUUUUCAGAUACAAUUUGAUACCAAAUUACUAAUGUUGGGCACAUCAGUUGCUACUAAAGUCAACAAAUUUCCUUUGUAUAUACCGUUCCAAAUGUACAAUUUACAGAAAAUCAAUGAAAAUGUAAUAUAAUUACAUGUAUAACUUGUGAUCUGGUAAAAUCGUUCAUACAAUCUAGAAUAUACAGAUGCUUUUUCCAGCAAUGCUGACAAAUUAGCAUUGGCAUGGAGCCCUUAGACAAGCCCGAUUGUGAGCUUCACGGAACCUGAUCAUUUUCUUUCCA